rnacentral:rRNA from 1 species
GGGAAUCUUGGACAAUGGGCGCAAGCCUGAUCCAGCCAUGCCGCGUGAGUGAAGAAGGCCUUAGGGUUGUAAAACUCUUUCGCCGGAGAAGAUAAUGACGGUAUCCGGAGAAGAAGCCCCGGCUAACUCUGUGCCAGCAGCCGCGGUAAGACAGAGGAGCCAAGCGUUGUCCGGAUUGACUGGGCGUAAAGCGCACGCAGGUGGUCAUGCAAGUGUCGUGUGAAAGCAGCUCGCUCAACGAGCUGAGGCCAUGGCAGACUGCAUAACUCGAGCCCGUGAGAGGUCGGUGGAAUUGCCGGUGGAGUGGUGACAUACGUAGAUAUCGGCAGGAACACCCAAGGGGAAGCCAGCCGACUGGCACGGUGCUGACACUGAGGUGCGAGAGCGUGGGGAGCGAA